rnacentral:rRNA from 1 species
UACGAAGGGGGCUAGCGUUGUUCGGAAUCACUGGGCGUAAAGGGCGCGUAGGCGGCUUUAUAAGUCGGGGGUGAAAGCCUGUGGCUCAACCACAGAAUUGCCUUCGAUACUGUAGGGCUUGAGACCGGAAGAGGUAAGUGGAACUGCGAGUGUAGAGGUGAAAUUCGUAGAUAUGGGGAGGAACACCGGUGGCGAAGGCGGCUACCUGGACGGCAACUGACGCUGAGACGCGAAAGCGUGGGUAGCAAACAGG